rnacentral:piRNA from 1 species
UAGAAACACUCAAAGGUCCUCCAUCGCUCC